rnacentral:sRNA from 1 species
CAUUUUCAUGCUUAUAUCUAAAAAACAAAAGCAGAAAUUUCAGCUCUACACGUUAAUAAGUUGAUAGGUUUCUUUAAAAGGAUUUCACUUUAAAUUUCUAAGUGCAGAAUUUCAAGACAAAAAUAAGUCACACGUCAAAACUUACUACUUACUAGUUACUAGUAAUCUCUUUUGCAAAAAAACUAGCAGAGAGCUUUGUUGUCAAGCGUGACUUCAAGGUUUUCUUUCAUCCCAAACAUCUAGUUGUCAAUCCACAAAAACAUUGAAAUAUAGAAAACUUUUUAACUUUUA